rnacentral:rRNA from 1 species
UACGUAGGGUGCGAGCGUUGUCCGGAAUUAUUGGGCGUAAAGAGCGUGUAGGCGGCCAGGUAGGUCUGCUGUGAAAACUCGAGGCUCAACCUCGAGACGCCGGUGGAAACCGUAAAGCUAGAGUCCGGAAGAGGAGAGUGGAAUUCCUGGUGUAGCGGUGAAAUGCGCAGAUAUCAGGAGGAACACCGGUGGCGAAGGCGGUUCUCUGGGCCGAUACUGACGCUGAGGAGCGAAAGCGUGGGGAGCGAACAGG